rnacentral:rRNA from 1 species
AGUUUGAUCCUGGCUCAGGAUGAACGCUAGCUACAGGCUUAACACAUGCAAGUCGAGGGGCAGCAUUGGAGUAGCAAUACUUCAGAUGGCGACCGGCGCACGGGUGAGUAACACGUAUCCAACCUGCCGCUUACUCGGGGAUAGCCUUUCGAAAGAAAGAUUAAUACCCGAUGGUAUAAAGAGUUCGCAUGUUCUCUUUAUUAAAGAAUUUCGGUAAGCGAUGGGGAUGCGUUCCAUUAGAUAGUUGGCGGGGUAACGGCCCACCAAGUCUACGAUGGAUAGGGGUUCUGAGAGGAAGGCCCCCCACAUUGGAACUGAGACACGGUCCAAACUCCUACGGGAGGCAGCAGUGAGGAAUAUUGGUCAAUGGACGAGAGUCUGAACCAGCCAAGUAGCGUGAAGGAUGACUGCCCUAUGGGUUGUAAACUUCUUUUAUAAGGGAAUAAAGUGAGGGACGUGUCCCUUUUUGUAUGUACCUUAUGAAUAAGGAUCGGCUAACUCCGUGCCAGCAGCCGCGGUAAUACGGAGGAUCCAGGCGUUAUCCGGAUUUAUUGGGUUUAAAGGGAGCGUAGGUUGACAUAUAAGUCAGCUGUGAAAGUUUACGGCUCAACCGUGAAAUUGCAAUUGAUACUGUAUGUCCUGAGUGUACAAGAGGUGGGCGGAAUUCGUGGUGUAGCGGUGAAAUGCUUAGAUAUCACGAAGAACUCCAACUGCGAAGGCAGCUCACUGGGGUACAACUGACACUGAGGCUCGAAAGUGUGGGUAUCAAACAGGAUUAGAUACCCUGGUAGUCCACACAGUAAACGAUGAAUACUCGCUGUUUGCGAUAUACAGUAAGCGGCCAAGCGAAAGCAUUAAGUAUUCCACCUGGGGAGUACGCCGGCAACGGUGAAACUCAAAGGAAUUGACGGGGGCCCGCACAAGCGGAGGAACAUGUGGUUUAAUUCGAUGAUACGCGAGGAACCUUACCCGGGCUUGAAUUGCAGAGGAACAUAGUUGAAAGAUUAUGGCCGCAAGGUCUCUGUGAAGGUGCUGCAUGGUUGUCGUCAGCUCGUGCCGUGAGGUGUCGGCUUAAGUGCCAUAACGAGCGCAACCCUUAUCAUUAGUUACUAACAGGUCAUGCUGAGGACUCUAGUGAGACUGCCGUCGUAAGAUGUGAGGAAGGUGGA